UACAGAGGGGGGCAAGCGUUGUUCGGAAUUACUGGGCGUAAAGGGCGCGUAGGCGCCUUCUAAGUCGAACGUGAAAUCCCUGGCUUAACCAGGAACUGCGUCCGAUACUGGAUGGCUUGAAUUCGGGAGAGGGAUGCGGAAUUCCAGGUGUAGCGGUGAAAUGCGUAGAUAUCUGGAGGAACACCGAGUCGGCAGAGGCGCUCCUGGACCGGUAUUGACGCUGAGGCGCGAAAGCCAGGGGAGCAAACGGG
rnacentral:rRNA from 1 species